AUUCUGCACCCAGGAUCCGAACCAGCGAACCCUGGGCUGCCGAAGUGGAAUGUGUGAACUUAAACACUACACCACUGGGCCAGCCCAUCCUAUUUUUUAGAUAAGAAAAUUGAGGUUCAAGAAGGUUGAAUUGUUCAUUGUGCAGAAUUAAUGCAGCAGGCCUGAAACUUAGAGGGGCUAGCUUGCACGUUGGCCCUUGGCUCGCUUAGAUUUUGGGAGGGUUCCCAUUAUUCCUGAACACUUAGCAGCUCACUGAGCCCAAACUGUUUGUGCAAACAUAGCUUAUGUCGAACACCUGAUUCCUUCUGGGAGUGGGGGAUUUUUGGUCUCUGCCAGGCAGUGAGUGCCUACGUGACGAGCUUACGAUAAAAACCCUGGUGCUGCGUCUCUCAGGAGCUUCCCUGCUGGACAACAUUUCACAUAAGUUUUCACAACUCAUUGCUGGAGGGAUUAAAUGUGCUCUGCGCAGCUGCACUGGGAAAGAACUCUGGAAAUUCAUGCCUAGAUUCCCCUGGACUUCGCCUCAUGUACAUUUUCCCUCUGCUGAAUUUUCUCUGUCCUUUCACUGUAGUAAAUCAAAGCCGUGUGGACGACUCUAUGCUGAGUCCUGGGAGCAGUCCUCAUGAAUCACCAAACCUGGGGUUGUCUCAGGGGCCCCAACACACUCACCCUGGAUCACACAGCUUGUCAGUGGCAGGGCAGGGACACAAGUCAGAACUUCCAUCUCUGAUUUCUCAGAACACCUAGAGGGGAGGUUUGCAGAGUCUGAGAGGAGACUUCAAGCUGGAGGGAAACCUGACAGGCAAGGCCCUUAUGAAGACAAAUGAGAACAUGGGCCCCAUUCCCAGGGAGCCCCUAAUCCAACUGGAUCAGGGAGGAAGACCCAGGAGGAAGGAAGACCAGGGUCUUCUCAGAGGUGGCAGCAAGUGUGGGUGACCCUGAGGUCCCAGCUAACCCUUGAGAGCCUGGCCUUCGUGGGGGCAUUUUCCUAGUUUACUUCCACAUCUUGAGCUCAGUCACUUAGAUCUACCGGUCACGGGUGAGCAGAUGGCAACGCACACGGGAUUAGGGACACUGAGCAGAGGGGCCUGACAGUGGUCAGGCCAAUGGCCACUCCCCUCCCAAUUCUGUAGAUGAUGCUGCAGAGGAGCAUUUAUUUAAAACACAGAGAGGGGACAGCCCAGUGCCACAGCGGUUAAGUGUGCAUGUUCCGAUUCUCGGCAGCCCGGUGUUUGCCAGUUCGGAUCCUGGGUGCGGACAUGGCACCGCUUGGCAAAAGCCAUGCUAUGGUAGGCGUCCCACGUAUAAAGUAGAGGAAGAUGGGCACGGAUGUUAGCUCAGGGCCAGUCUUCCUCAGCAAAAAUAGGAGGAUUGGCAGUAGUUAGCUCAGGGCUAAUCUUCCUCAAAAAAAAAAAAUUUAAAAAAUAAAACAGACACAGUCUAAAGAAAUACUGUGUUCGUGUUAAUAGACAAUCAUAAAGCAAAUACCCAUGGCCACCUGCCAGGUUAAGACAGAACAGGGCCUCCUCCUGCCACUGCCCCAACAGCCCAGCCUUCUCUGCUCAGGAAACGAGCUCCAGACUUCUGUGAUUGUAUGAGAGCUCUCCAGAGACACAACCAAUAGCUUAUACAUAAAAGGAGAUUGAUUUGGAGGAAUUGGCUCGCAUGAUUAUGGAGGAUGAGAAGUCCCAUGAUCUGCCAUCUGCCAGCUGGAGACCCAGGAAAGCUGGUGGUAUAACUCAGUGUGAGUCUGAAGGCUGAGAACCAGGGCAGAGGAUGGGGCAAAUCCCAGUGCAAGGGCAGGAGAAGAGGAGACGUCCCAGCUUAAGCUGUGAGGCAGGGGAGAAGGAGCAAAUUCUUCCUUUCAAGGCCUUUGGUUCUAUUUAGGCCCUUAAUGGAUUGGAUGAUGCCCACCCACAUUGGGGAGGGCAAUUUGCUUGACAAUUUGGGUCCACUGAUUGAAAUCCUAAUCUCACCUGGAAACAGCCUCACAGACACACCCAGAGACAGAAAUAAUGUCUUACCUGGGCACCCUGUGGCUCAUUGAUAACCAUGUCCUUCCUUUCCUUUAUAGGAAGCCAAACCACAUGGUUUGCUUCUGCUUCUUUUUGAACUUCAUGUAAAUACAAUCAUAGUUGAUGCUUUCUUUUGUUAAGAUUUUUACUUUUUUUCCUUUUUCUCCCCAAAGCCCCCCGGUACAUAGUUGUAUAUUCUUCGUUGUGGGUCCUUCUAGUUGUGGCAUGUGGGACGCUGCCUCAGUGUGGUUUGAUGAGCAGUGCCAUGUCCGCGCCCAGGAUUGGAAACACUGGGCCGCCUGUGGCGGAGCGCGCAAACUUAACCGCUUGGCCGUGGCGCCAGCCCCGAUGCUUUCUUUUCUCUCUUGCCUGUUUUGCUCAGCAUCAUUUCUGGAGUUUGUCCACGUGGAGCUGGAAUCUGUCCCCUGUGUGGCUAUACAGUGUUCCAUCGUAGGGCUAGCCCAAGCUGGUCCACCCAUUUGGCUGUUGACGGGCAUUUGGGUUGUUUCCCAUUUGGGGCUAUUAUGAACACUUGCCUGCCUCUCCUGGAGCAUGGGUGUUUCUCAAGGGUUGCGUCUAGGAGUAGAGUCCUGGGCCAUUGGCUGUGUCUGUCUUCAGCUUUAUCCACACAGCAAACAGUUUCCAUAGGGGCUGUCCUGUUUUACAUUCCCACCAGGCAUAUGUGAGAGUUCCAGUUGCUCAGCAUCCUCACCCACACUUGGUAUUGUCAAACUUUUAAAUUUUAUACAUUCUGGUCAGUGCCUAGUAGUAUUUUUCCAUUUCAUUGUGGCUUUUAUUUUUAUUUCCAUGAUGACUCAUGAUAGUGAGCUCCUUUUCAUGUGCAUAUUGUCAUCUGGAUUUCCUCUUUUGUAAAAGUCUUGCCCCAUUUUUCUCUUGGGGUACCUGCCUUUUCUCAUGGAUUGGUAGGAAUUAUUAUUUGCUCUGGAUGCUAGCUGUGCAUAUCUUCUCCCUCAUUCUGGCUUGCCUUUCACUCUGUUUACGUUUGAUGAACAGAUGCUCCUAACUCUUGGCACUACAAUUUAUCAAGCUUUCCCUUUAUGCUGAGUGUUAGUCUGACUAGGAAAACUCUUUUCCACCUUGAGAUCAUGAAGGUAGCCUCCUGUGUUGCCAUGAAAGGCCUCAUUGUUUUCCUUUCACACCUAACUCUUUAUGUGGAUGUCCCUUUUAUGAAACAGCUGCUCCUUCCUCAAGCUCUGCAGGGCUUACUCUGGCACAGGACAAGAGUACGCUUGUAGGGGCUGGCCUGGUGGCGUAGCGGUUAAGUUCGCACGUUCAGCUUCUUGGUGGCCCAGGGUUCGCCAGUUUGGAUCCUGGGUGCGGACAUGGCACUGCUCAUCUAAGCCAUGCUGUGACAGGCGUCCCACAUAUAAAGUAGAGGAAGAUGGUAAUAGAUGUUAACUCAGGGCUAGUCUUCUUCAGCAAAAAGAGGAAGAUUGGCAGCAGUUAGCUCAGGGCUAAUCUUCCUCAAAAAAAAAAAAAAAAAAAAAGAGUCCACUUGUGUGAGAGUCCAUGGCUGGGCUCUCUCUUCUGUCAGUUGCAUUGGGUUUCUUCAUCUCUCUGAGUUCUGACGACUGCGUCUUGCUGACAGGCUUGGAAAGAGACUCUGUACCUGGUGGAUGUGGUGAUUAUCUUCUCACACCCUCUCAUGGUCUCCCAAACAAGUAGUGGGUGAACAGCUGGCUCUGCAGGUCAGGGGGCUUUUUGUGCUUCUAGGUCCCAAGGAUGGAGGACAGAAGUGCCGUGUGGACCUGGCUGCCUAUCUCUGAGCCUGCUCGCUCUCCUCAGGCACCUGCCCUGGGCUCCAGGCUUGCAGCACCACCAUCUGCUUCUGGCCUUUUGCAGAAUGUUGCACUAAACUGUUAUCUGUCUUGAUGGCUGAGUUUUUUGGCAUCCCUUCAGGCGGUGCCUUGCUUACCUCACUCAGGCUCCAGCCCUGCUCAAAACCUUGGGGCAUGUGGUGCCCUAUGUCUGGAGUGCCUUCAUCUGGUAUCAUGGCUCCCACAGUGGUCAGCCUGCACCAAGGGGGCCCACCAUUAUAAUACCUCCUAUUCAUCUGGCCCUAGGGUUUUGGGGAUGGAUGAAUACACGACACGUGACCUUGGACAGAUGAAAUGGACAGCAGUCUAUUAGAUGUAUGAACUCACAGCCUGGGGAAGAGGACACCUCAUGCCAUGCAGGGUCAUAGGGGGCUUGCGUUUGGGAACCAAGUGAACAGACUACAGGAGGCAGGCUUUGUAGUAACAAGAGGCCAAGGUGGCCCCUGGUUCCUGCUGCAGGAUGUGACUAGCCUGUUUGAAUAAUUCUUCAGGCUGAGAGGGAACUGAAAUCUGCUGCUCAGGGAUAAGCAGGAACUGCGCCCAGUCCCUUGGCCAAGGAGCGCUGUUUGACAUGGGGCUCUUCUCUGUAGGAGCAAGGUGGGGAGGGGAGUUUGCUGUUUGCCCUUCGAGACUCUCCUGGUUUCAGGUGUUAAGGCAGCACGUAAUAUUGGGCCUUAAUUUUAGCCCUUACACACUACACCCACAGAUGCUUCCAGAGUCAGGCAGACCCAGGUCAAAUCCUGGCUCUUUAAUCACCAGGCCAUCUCUGGGGCUGAGGGUGGUGG
rnacentral:lncRNA from 1 species